GCCGGGCGUGGUGGCUCACGCCUGUAAUCCCAACACUUUGGGAGGCUGAGGCAAGUGGAUCACUUGAGGUCAGGAGUUCGAGACCAGCCUGGCCAACAUGGUGAAACCCUGUCUCUA
ensembl:misc_RNA Metazoa_SRP Metazoan signal recognition particle RNA